GAGUUUACAAAUAUAUUUUUAAGGUUGUAUUGUAUAGCUACUGUGUUCAAGUAACCAGACGUUGACGAUGGACUCCACUGUACUGCUUCUAUUGACAAUGUUCGCUGUUUUAGGUAAAGUUGUUGGAGACAGAAGACUGACAUUUGUAACUGUGCUCUACCGCCAUGGUGACCGAUCCCCAGUCAAAGCCUACCCUACUGAUCGCUACCAGGAGAGCUCUUGGCCCCAGGGCUUUGGACAGCUCUCGCAGGAAGGAAUGAGGCAGCACUUUGAGCUGGGACAGGUGCUGCGGAAACGCUAUCAGGGCUUUCUAAAUGACACUUAUGACCGACGUGAGAUUUCUGUGAGGAGCACAGACUAUGACCGGACCUUGAUGAGUGCAGAGGCCAACCUGGCAGGAUUGUACCCUCCCAAUGGGUCACAGGUCUUCAACCCAUCACUGGAGUGGCAGCCUAUUCCUGUUCACACUGUGCCCCAGGAUGAGGAGAGGCUUUUGUCGUUUCCCAUUCCGGGUUGCCCUCGUUAUAAAAUCCUCAUGAAUGAGACUGAACGCACAGAAAAGUACCUCAACAUGACAUUUCUAUACAAAGAUCUAAUAGCGACGGUACGGGAGAAAACUGGUCUGAAGAACACCACCAUUGAGACUGUUUGGAGUGUCCAUGACACCCUGUUCUGUGAGGCAAGGCACAACAUGACCGCUCCUGACUGGGUGACCCCUGAGAUCAUGGAUGAUCUGAGGAAGCUCAAGGACUUUGGCUUUGAAAUCCUGUUUGAGGUCUACAAGCAUCAGGAGAAAAGCCGUCUCCAAGGAGGUGUCCUCUUGGGUAGCAUUGUAAAUAACAUCUCGGAGUCUGCUCUUCCCGGCUCUAAUCGCCGUCUGAAGAUGAUGAUGCUCUCUGCGCAUGACACCACCAUUGUGGCUUUGCAGUCGAGUUUGAGUAUCUUCAAUGGAAAGCAGCCGCCCUAUGCCUCCUGCCACAUAUUUGAACUCUAUCAGGAAGACAACGGAUCAUUCACAGUGGCCAUGUUUUAUCGCAAUGACACCACAAGAGCGCCUUACCAACUGGCUAUACCUAGCUGUGACCUCUUCUGCCCACUGGAGGACUUUGUGCGCCUCACCAAACCAUCCAUCCCAGAGGAUUGGGACAAGGAGUGCAUGGUUGAGUCUCCUACAAAGGAUACAGAGGUGGUCAUCGGACUAGCAGUUUGUGGCUGUUUGCUCUUCCUCCUUAUCGUCCUCCUGCUCGCUGUGCUUUGUCGGCAACGUGAUCCCUCCAACGGCUACAGUCACGUUCACAAUGAGAUUGAAUCUUGACAAAAGUACAAACUCCACCGUAGGCAGGAUUCAUGGGAGUGAAGAUGUUGUUUGAAUGCCUCCCAGCUCUGCCCCCUGGUGGGGGAUGCAGGAAAAGGGAACACUAGACUCCUUUUAGUGCAACUUUUUUAACUUUUUUUUAUUUUUUUUAAUUUUUCCUUCAAAGGGGACUGUGACCUUUCACCAAAAAUGCACAUGCACUUACUGGGGAGGACAAAGGUUAUCUAGUCUUCAAGUGAACUGUUGUCAUGAAUGUCCACGGACUGGCGGAGACGGGCGCCACGAGGCAUCCAGUGCGGUAAUGCGGCCGAUCCCGGAGAAGCUGGCGGGAGCCCUGGAAUGGUUUCGCCACGAGAGAGGGGCCCAAGCCCUGGAAAGCGUUGCUGUUUCGGUGCCGUCCGGAGAGCUCUCCCUGGCUCUUGAAAGUCCGGGGGAGAGGGUGUAAAUCUCACGCCAGGCCAUAUUACUUUACUAUAUCCGCAGCAGGUCUCCAAUGUGAACAGCCUCUGGGAUGUUAUAACAAUGUAGGUAAGGGAAGUUGGAAAAAAAGGAUUGGUUCUAAGGGCUGGGUCGGUCGAGCUGGGGUGCGAAGUGGGGCUGGGCUCGAACCGUGGCUGGGGGAGCAGUCCCUCCGUCACCCUCUUUUCACCACCAUUUCAUUGUGUGGCCCAUCUCGCGGUCUCUUGUGUGUGGUCUCGCAAGGGUCUGCUUGCGGGGAUUCGUCGGGGUGGUGUCCAUCGGCGGACUGGUGGGGGGUUGGGUCCGGCGAUUGGUGGCGGCAACUCUGGACGCGCGCCGGGCCCUUCUCGCGGAUCUCUCCAGCUAUGGCGCUCGCCUGCCCCACGCAUUGUAGGUGAGGAGGUCUCCUCUACGCUCACUAGACUUGAGUCGGAGACUAGACCCAAUGGCCCCGCAGUGAUAGGGCAUUGCAUGGAUCUGGCUCAUGCCCUACGAAGUGGGGAGAGGUAUCUCCAGCUUGUCUGGGGAGGGAGGCCUAUGUCUGAUGUGGGUAGUACCAUCCACGCCCAGGGAUUUGUACGUAGCAGAGCAGCUCACUCGCUGCAAUCUAUUGAAAGUCAGCCCUCGAGCCAAGCUUUUGUCGGGGACGGAAGGCGUCUUCCUCCACCAUCCUCCUUUACUUAAGGGUUAACAGGUGCACGCAGAAGGGCCAGGGGCCAGACGGUGUGAGAGAGCCCAGGCAGGUGGGUAGAAGGCAUCAUUGGGCUCUGGAUAGGUAGGAGGCUAGGUGGUGGUCGCCCAUCCGCCCGGGCCCGUCCUAUGGUGGGACUGUGAGUCCGGUUGGGACUCGCUGUGGAAGUCAAAAGGUCACCAGGUGCAAGAGGAGGCCUCCCACAUGGCGGUGGGCACUCAGUCUGAGCAGGGGCAGCUGGACUCAGGGGCUGGGGGCAGCACUCAGGCUGUGGAGGGUGUGGGGACUGAGCAGAAAAAAGCGGGCGGGUCACCAGGAGCACAGAGCCUGUUUUGAAUUACCACGUGCACAGAGCCUAUUUUGACUGUAGACGUCUUAGUAAUUCCAGGGAGGAAUACUCUAAUACUCUACUCUACUCUACUCUAAUACUCUACUCUAUACUGCCUGGAGGUCAGGAAGGCCCAAGUGAAUAGGUGUGUGAGUGACACUGUCCUUCAGGGGUGCAGAGCAGGCAACUUAAUGUAAAAUCAUGUGAGAUGAAAAUGGACAAACUGAAGGGUGUGCAAUGUGUAGGCCCACUGAGUGUACAUUCUGAACCUUGUUUGAAGUCAGGUCACAUGACCAAG